AACAGAAGGUUCCCGUCGGGCGCCCGAUCGUGGGUAUCGGGAAGAUGGUGGAAGUCCAUCGCUGCCCCGCAACUGUAACCGGCGACGAAAUCCGCAUCCAGGCCACUGGGGAAGACACCCCGGGAAGGCGCGGAGAGUAGGUUCGUAACCGGAAGCCAGGAGACCGGCCCGACAGGGAGUUUUCCC
rnacentral:ncRNA from 2 species